rnacentral:rRNA from 1 species
AUUGAACGCUGGCGGCAGGCUUAACACAUGCAAGUCGAGCGGAGAUGAGGUGCUUGCACCUUAUCUUAGCGGCGGACGGGUGAGUAAUGCUUAGGAAUCUGCCUAUUAGUGGGGGACAACAUUCCGAAAGGAAUGCUAAUACCGCAUACGUUCUACGGGAGAAAGCAGGGGAUCUUCGGACCUUGCGCUAAUAGAUGAGCCUAAGUCGGAUUAGCUAGUUGGUGGGGUAAAGGCCUACCAAGGCGACGAUCUGUAGCGGGUCUGAGAGGAUGAUCCGCCACACUGGGACUGAGACACGGUCCAGACUCCUACGGGAGGCAGCAGUGGGGAAUAUUGGACAAUGGGGGGAACCCUGAUCCAGCCAUGCCGCGUGUGUGAAGAAGGCCUUAUGGUUGUAAAGCACUUUAAGCGAGGAGGAGGCUACUGAGACUAAUACUCUUGGAUAGUGGACGUUACUCGCAGAAUAAGCACCGGCUAACUCUGUGCCAGCCGCCGCAGUAA